UGAACGCUGGCGGCGUGCCUAAUACAUGCCAGUCGAGCGACCAGACGCGGAGCUUGCUCCUCUGACGUUAGCGGCGGACGGGUGAGUAACACGUGGAUAACCUACCUAUAAGACUGGGGUAACUUCGGGAAACCGGAGCUAAUACCGGAUAAUAUAUUGAACCGCAUGGUUCAAUAGUGAAAGACGGUUUUGCUGUCACUUAUAGAUGGAUCCGCGCCGCAUUAGCUAGUUGGUAAGGUAACGGCUUACCAAGGCAACGAUGCGUAGCCGACCUGAGAGGGUGAUCGGCCACACUGGAACUGAGACACGGUCCAGACUCCUACGGGAGGCAGCAGUAGGGAAUCUUCCGCAAUGGGCGAAAGCCUGACGGAGCAACGCCGCGUGAGUGAUGAAGGUCUUCGGAUCGUAAAACUCUGUUAUUAGGGAAGAACAAAUGUGUAAGUAACUAUGCACGUCUUGACGGUACCUAAUCAGAAAGCCACGGCUAACUACGUG
rnacentral:rRNA from 1 species